rnacentral:rRNA from 1 species
GAUGAACGCUAGCGGCAGGCUUAACACAUGCAAGUCGAGGGGCAGCGCGUCGUAGCAAUACGAUGGCGGCGACCGGCGGAAGGGUGCGUAAACGCGUGAGCAACUUGCCCGUCACAGGGGGAGUAACCGGUGGAAACGCCGACUAACACCCCGUAACCACAUUGCGCUGCAUGGCGUGAUGUUGAAAACUACCGGUGGUGACGGAUAGGCUCGCGUGCCAUUAGCUAGUCGGCGGGGCAACGGCCCACCGAGGCGACGAUGGCUAGGGAUUCUGAGAGGAAGGCCCCCCACACUGGGACUGAGACACGGCCCAGACUCCUACGGGAGGCAGCAGUGAGGAAUAUUGGACAAUGGAGGCAAACUCUGAUCCAGCCAUGCCGCGUGAAGGACUAAGGCCCUAAUGGGCUGUAAACUUCUUUAGACGCAGAGCAAUAAGGGCCCACGUGUGGUCCGAUGAGAGUAAUGCGUAGAAUAAGCAUCGGCUAACU